rnacentral:rRNA from 1 species
UACAGAGGGUGCGAGCGUUAAUCGGAAUUACUGGGCGUAAAGCGCGCGUAGGCGGCUUUGCAAGUCGGGUGUGAAAUCCCCAGGCUUAACCUGGGAACUGCAUUCGAGACUGCAUUGCUAGAAUAUGGGAGAGGGAAGUGGAAUUUCCGGUGUAGCGGUGAAAUGCGUAGAUAUCGGAAGGAACAUCAGUGGCGAAAGCGACUUCCUGGACCAAUACUGACGCUCAUGUGCGAAAGCGUGGGGAGCAAACAGG